rnacentral:lncRNA from 1 species
UUUUUUUUUUUGUCAUCAAAAAUAAAGAUUAACUCAAAAGAGCCAAUUUACCGGACAAUCGUUUACAAACUUAACAAUAUGCGGUAAGGUACGAACAUUUCGUGCCAAUAAAUCCGCUUUUACAUUAACAUUGCGAGAGAUAAGACGUAGAGAGAAAGUAGAAAAUUCUUCCCUAUCAACACCAAUAUCCGCGAGAUAUGCAGAGAACGCCGGCCACUCGGACGGAGA